rnacentral:sRNA from 1 species
CAUGCUUCCUUUUUUAUUUUUUAUUUUUUAUUUUUGCUUUUAAGUUCUCGCCAUUGCGACACUUACUAUUUUAUCAUUAGCCACCAACGCUUUCUACGCUUUCUGGAUGAUAGGUGAUAUAAUAUCUACCAAGCUGCGUACAAUAACAAUAGUCACCACUCCGCCGAGCCUGCGUUUGUCUGGCGAGAAACGAUCACAUCGCAUCCUGGAGGACCUCACCGGGUAUGCCAACUUUUCUUUCUGUUGACGAGUCACUGCUAGCAAACCGUUCGCAAAUCCAUCGAUAACCUAUUCCUGCCACAAGAAAAUAAAAAUUUAGAUAUAUAUAAUAAAAGUCACCCGCCCCGCGGGGUCUUCACCCGCAGUACAUCCCCGAGACGACGACGACGACGACUAAGAAGAAGUAGAAAUGCGACUGAAAUCGCUUCCACUCCUCCUGCUGCUGCUAUUUACCACAAUCGACGCCAAGAAUGUGUAUACAGAUACCUCCCGUUUCAGCCAACCUCUUUUCGACUGGCGCAAUGUCCAGAGGGAUUCCAUAGGACUGGUGAAACGACAGGGCAGUUGUCCGGCGGGGUUUAACAGCUGUGCGCUCCUCGGGGCCGCGGAGGCAUGUUGCCAACGGGACACGGUCUGCUCGCGCGACGAUGCAAAUAACAUGGCCUGCUGUCCCAGCGGGGCGGCGUGUACGGGUCAUUUAUCAGGCCCCCCUCAGACGUCCGCCUCCUCAAACUUCAUGUUCCCACAACCAGGCACCGCAACCACCACGCCGCCAACAGGCCCCACAAGCUCAGCGGCGCCAACGGUCCCCAACGCCCCAUUCCCCUUCACGAUCAUCCCCACCACCUUCCCGAACCA